rnacentral:rRNA from 1 species
ACGUAGGUGGCAAGCGUUGUCCGGAUUUAUUGGGCGUAAAGCGAGUGCAGGCGGCUCGAUAAGUCUGAUGUGAAAGCCUUCGGCUCAACCGGAGAAUUGCAUCAGAAACUGUCGAGCUUGAGUACAGAAGAGGAGAGUGGAACUCCAUGUGUAGCGGUGAAAUGCGUAGAUAUAUGGAAGAACACCGGUGGCGAAGGCGGCUCUCUGGUCUGUUACUGACGCUGAGGCUCGAAAGCAUGGGUAGCGAACAGG